rnacentral:lncRNA from 1 species
AUGGGGACAAUUCAGGGAGUGGCUCUCAGGUCCUGAGAAAGACUUUCCUGGCCACAGGAGAUGCACGGACAUCGGGAACAGACAGAGGAAGGACGUGCAGUUGCAGCCUUUUCAGCAGACGCCCUGAGAACGGGAGGUCGGGAGUCGGAGCAAACGGUCAGUUCUGACAGGGCCUCAGACCUAAGGCAGGAGCACCCCCUACGCCAGACCUCCUGGGUCACAGGAAAUGCACAGACAUUGGGAAGGGGCAGAGGACGGAUGGAGGAAGGAUGUGCAGUUGCAGCUCUUUCUGCAGAUGCCCUGAGAGAGGAGCAAGAAGGUCCUCGCCAGAUGCUCCUGGACUUGCUUUGGACUUUCCCUUGCUCUUGACUUCACAGCCUCUAG